rnacentral:ncRNA from 1 species
UGCGGGAUAGGCGUUUACGCCGCAUCCGGUAUGGAUUGCCUGAUACGACGCUGGCGCGUCUUAUCAGGCC